GAAAGAGUCAUCUUUCCUAACAGAUGAUGGCUAUUCAUGGAGAAAAUAUGGGGAAAAAAUAAUCUUGAAUUGUCUAUACCCAAGGAAUUACUUUAGGUGCAUCCACAAGUGCGAUCAAGGCUGCGUGGCAACAAAACAAGUUCAGAGACUUGCAACAGUUUCACCGAAGUAUCGCAUCACUUAUUUUGGCCAUCACACCUGCAGAAAUAUUCUUAAGGAUGAAGAAAUCAUCUCAAC
rnacentral:misc_RNA from 1 species